UUCAAGUAUAAUAAGAGUGGUAAUGCCAUUAUUUUUUAUUUAUAACUAUAAACUAUUCUUCUUAUUUUCAUCUUAUCUAUUCAAACGUUAUUUUUCUUAUUUCUGGAAACAACCAAAUUUUCAUCCAAACACAAAAUUGGUUUAGUUCUCGUUUAUAUCUAAAUUUGUAUCUAUUCCUGAUAUAAACUAAUUUUUAUUUAUACCCGAAUCAAACAAAGCUUUGAAGUACCAUAUGAUUUGGCAUAACGGUUGAGCAACCUAAUGAAAUAUUUAUAGAGAGAGAAGGCUUGUGUACUUUUAAAAGUACAUUGGCCUUUGUAUUAUUAAAUUAUUUUUGAUGUUAAGAACCCCAAAUCAACGAUUAGUUUGUUAAACUUAAUCUUGAGUAUUUAAAAUAUCUAGAAAUAAAAUUUUAUGAUUUUUCGAUAUCAUUUACCUAGUGAUCGAAGGAAUCCAAAAUUGAUAAUUUUAUUGACCGUGGUGAGCCAUUUGCAAGUUUAACAAUAUAGAAAUAUCUAAAUCAUGUAGACUUUUGAGAAAAAAAAAAAUUUUAUAGGAUCAAAUAAUUUUUAUCUAAAAUUUUAAUAUUAUAUUAUAAUUUUUUACGAGAUUUUUUUUUUAUUUUCAGUUGUUGAUUUUGAGUUAUUUUGAUCACAUAGUAAAUGAUAUCGAAACAUUGUGAAAUUUAUUUUUUAGAUUGUGAGAUUUAAUUUAACCAGCUAAAUUAGAUUGUGAGAUUUAAUUGUAAUAAUUAUAACCGAUCGAGUCAAAAAUCAUAAAAAGAAAAAAUUAAAGUUUGAAAACUAAGAUAUCAUCCUACUUAUAAUUUUAGGACCAAGCCUGCAAUUUAUCCUAUAACAUAGGAUACGUAGAAUAUGAGUGAUUUAGUUUCACCAAACUAUAUAGCCCAAAAAAUAAGGUCCAAAGAAGGAAUGGGCCUAGGUGGCAAACUCGACAAAAUUAGUACAUUUAUGUGAUGAAUAAUAAGUUUGAUAGGCGUCUACGGUG
rnacentral:lncRNA from 1 species